rnacentral:misc_RNA from 1 species
UCAGUGGCGAGCGCGGCAGC